rnacentral:rRNA from 1 species
AGAGCGAACGCUGGCGGCAGGCCUAACACAUGCAAGUCGAACGGACUCUUCGGAGUUAGUGGCGGACGGGUGAGUAACACGUGGGAACGUGCCUUUUGGUUCGGAAUAGCUCCUGGAAACGGGUGGUAAUGCCGAAUGUGCCCUUCGGGGGAAAGAUUUAUCGCCAUUAGAGCGGCCCGCGUCUGAUUAGCUAGUUGGUGAGGUAAAGGCUCACCAAGGCUACGAUCAGUAGCU